rnacentral:rRNA from 1 species
UACGUAGGGCGCAAGCGUUGUCCGGAAUUAUUGGGCGUAAAGAGCUCGUAGGCGGUUUGUCGCGUCGGCCGUGAAAUCUCCACGCUUAACGUGGAGCGUGCGGUCGAUACGGGCAGACUUGAGUUCGGUAGGGGAGACUGGAAUUCCUGGUGUAGCGGUGAAAUGCGCAGAUAUCAGGAGGAACACCGGUGGCGAAGGCGGGUCUCUGGGCCGAUGACUGACGCUGAGGAGCGAAAGCGUGGGGAGCGAACAGG